GAUGAACGCUAGCUACAGGCUUAACACAUGCAAGUCGAGGGGCAUCAGGAAGAAAGCUUGCUUUCUUUGCUGGCGACCGGCGCACGGGUGAGUAACACGUAUCCAACCUGCCCUUUACUCGGGGAUAGCCUUUCGAAAGAAAGAUUAAUACCCGAUAGCAUAAUGAUUCCGCAUGGUUUCAUUAUUAAAGGAUUCCGGUAAAGGAUGGGGAUGCGUUCCAUUAGGUUGUUGGUGAGGUAACGGCCCACCAAGCCUUCGAUGGAUAGGGGUUCUGAGAGGAAGGUCCCCCACAUUGGAACUGAGACACGGUCCAAACUCCUACGGGAGGCAGCAGUGAGGAAUAUUGGUCAAUGGGCGAGAGCCUGAACCAGCCAAGUAGCGUGAAGGAUGACUGCCCUAUGGGUUGUAAACUUCUUUUAUAAAGGAAUAAAGUCGGGUAUGGAUACCCGUUUGCAUGUACUUUAUGAAUAAGGAUCGGCUAAACUCCGUG
rnacentral:rRNA from 1 species